rnacentral:rRNA from 1 species
UACGAAGGGGGCUAGCGUUGUUCGGAAUCACUGGGCGUAAAGGGCGCGUAGGCGGCCGGUCAAGUCGGGGGUGAAAGCCUGUGGCUCAACCACAGAAUUGCGUUCGAUACUGUUUGGCUUGAGACCGGAAGAGGUAAGUGGAACUGCGAGUGUAGAGGUGAAAUGCGUAGAUAUUCGCAAGAACACCAGUGGCGAAGGCGGCUUACUGGUCCGGUUCUGACGCUGAGGCGCGAAAGCGUGGGGAGCAAACAGG